rnacentral:rRNA from 1 species
UACGAAGGGGGCUAGCGUUGCUCGGAAUGACUGGGCGUAAAGGGCGCGUAGGCGGUUUGUACAGUCAGGUGUGAAAUUCCCGGGCUCAACCUGGGGGCUGCACUUGAUACGUAUGGACUGGAGUGGGGAAGAGGGUCGUGGAAUUCCCAGUGUAGAGGUGAAAUUCGUAGAUAUUGGGAAGAACACCGGUGGCGAAGGCGGCGACCUGGUCCGGUUCUGACGCUGAGGCACGAAAGCGUGGGGAGCAAACAGGG